GCGAUAACGGCAACUGGGAUCCAGCGGCGAAGGGCGAUAACGUACGGUGCAUGAAGGAAAGAACUGGGCACAAGAGCGCAUGCGCCAACAGCUGAGAUUUUAGAUUAAAAUAUGGUUUAAGAAGCGGUCGCUGGGCGUCACGCCCGUCAUAUUGCAUUUCACGCUACCGUAAUUUCUUUCUCUAGGCUACCGUCGCCGGCGUCAGCUGAACCUCUGCAUUCUACCAGAUGCUCUGGCAGCCAUUGUCGUCAGUAGCCACCCUAACAUUUCACCGACUCAAAAGCAACCGUGGCUGCCACCUCCGAGUCCUGCUGUUCCGAGUCCUGCUGUUCCGAGUCCUGCUGUUCCGAGUCCUGCUGUUCCGAGUCCUGCUGUUCCGAGUCCUGCUCCGGGCGUGCUUCGAAGCUUUGCGUCGCGGCUGCUCCGGUUAUGGCCUCGACCUUUGAAAGCGCGGUUACCGGACCCACUUUUGCUCCGGAAUUCUCGCACGACAUUCAUUGGAGCUCGUGGAACACACGUGUUACGCCCGGCGGACAUUUCAUUAUUGUCCAUGAGCAGCCGCGUAUGACGCCGACGCCUCCGUUGCUGCCUACAAGUCUGAAGUCGCGCCUGCCUUCAAGUUUUCGUUUGUGGUGCGCGCGUGUUCCCACCCGUACGAGAAGGCUCGACAACGAACUGACCGUGCCACAACAAAGCAACGCCACGUGCCUCACCAGCCCACUUACAAGGUGGAUCCCGUGCAGCCUAUAGUGACUGGCACUAUUCCGAGGGACAACGAAGCAGCUGUCGUCGCUACUUCAGCAGCGAAUUCACGACGUGGGAGUCUCUUAGCUCGCGAGGGUGGCGUGGCUAUCGAAUUGUCUACUAAGCUAAUUGGCAGUAUUAACCCUUUUAAACUGAUUGGCACGAAAACGCCGCAGCCACAUCGGGUCGUCCUCGUGAUGGAAGCGGGAAGGACGACGUGGGGCGAUUGUAGCUUUAGGCUUAGCCGACACUACGCAGGCUCAGCUGGCUGCGCUCUCGCUUGCAACACGACCGGACGUCGGCCCGUUCCGAGUGCUAUUGCUUCCCGACCAUGCUUUCGCGCCACCGCGCGCGAAAUGUGGGAUCGCGGAAGUAAAUGGCACCCGGAAUUAGUGUCGGGUUUUCUUUUCUUUUUUUUUCUAGCGCAACAGAAGAACGGACGUUGCCUCCGGUCGGCAGCGCGGGGCGCUGCGGCGAAGACGGUGGUGGGUGGUCACAUUGUUCCGUUUUCUGUCUCACCCCGUGCUUUCUUCGCUCGACACGCCAACCAUUUUUGACGAGUCCAUCGUUCACGCCAGCGCGAUGACACUUGUUAUGUUCCGCGACCUGUACCUUGGCCCCUGGGACACGUGAGCAUGUUCCUGCACCAGGCCAUGUCUCGGACAGAUGAUGUUCAGCACCUGUCAUCCCGCCACUCACCACGUAUCUGCUUCUGCCUCAGAGCUAUUGGUGUCCUGGGGAAUGAAGAAACCUGCUGGCCCCCGCCCUGCAGUACGUUGAUUGCACUCUGGAACCCUUGUCUUGACAUCCGCCGCCCGUCAAGACCUGUCCUGCCCACGUAGUAUGCGGUGAAAUCUACUGCUGACCGCAAGGAGGCAGGCGUUGCUCUCGCCGCAAUUCAUCACAUUGCUACGCCCGAAGACGUGGAGCUGCAGGAAAAGUCCUUCGCUCUGUGCUACCUCGACGACGGUACGCAACUACGGAGUCAUGACGCGAAUACAGAUCUGACGUCGCUGUUGCAGUUGUUCAUUCUAUCCUGUAGCUUUAUCACGGCCGCUCGGCAAAGACGCACAUUGUUAUUGGCUGUAUAUUCGGCGGACCAAACAAUUCCAGGCGACAAGCCGUUCCGGAUCAUCAGAGGUACUCUGCUCAGGGGAUAACAUUGGCUUGAUCUGGGGAUUCCUGCUCGUGAACUUUCAUUCCCAUUCUGUGCCCUCGUGUAAUGGUACCCUGAUGCUGGUCCACGUUGCGAAGUUGCACGCGCGUAUGUAUUCGUUUGAGCAUGCGUAAGCGAGCGUGUUGCUGUUUUUGUGUUGUCUGUUUUUUGUAUAUAUAUAUA